rnacentral:lncRNA from 1 species
UCUUCUCCCACGCGCGCGCACGCAGUCUCAUUCCGCUGAUGCCUUCCUUAGCUUCUUCUCUGCGUCGGCCAUCAUGGAGCCCUGGUCUUCUCCUCUAACUCCGGUGGUCGACUCUCCGUUCUUCUCGGUUGUCCCUGUAUCUCUAACUCCCACAAUGUAAGUUCUCUUUGAUAAAUAUCCUAGGUUCACCUCUCCAGUAGCAAGCCCCAUCGUCUAGAUUUUUUUCUAUUUGCCCAGCCAUCUCCUAUCUGUGCACGUACUCAAGAAGUUCACUCACGUCAGCUGAUCCUUAUCAUCCUGUGAGCGUGCAUGGGAAGCCUCACUCUGUAUAUUAUUCUACCAGCCAUCCUCAUCUCUUCCUCACUAGAGCACAUUAUUCUCUGGAAUAUCUCACCACGCCAGCUCCUGGGACGCGCGUCCAUCUACUGCGCUCGGUUCCCUGGAAAAUCUUCACCACUCGGCCUCUCUGUCACGUAUUCCUUCAGCCUGGGAUUUUUCCUGACAUCGUUCUCAUCCGCGCGGGUGGGGUGGGAACAAAAUUUGCCGCCGUUCAGGGAAAAAUCUCGCCACCGCCCCCUGUUCUUUUUAUAUGCGCACACACGGUGGUCUUCCUGCUCGCCUGGCUGCGCGUCCAGGAGCUCCCAUCGUGGCGCAGCUUCUUCCCAAGCCGCGCUCCACCUCCGAUGGCGCUUGGCCGCCCAGCUCUCCCGCUGUCCGCCCGCCUGGCGCCCAGACCAUGGCCGCGGCUCUCCUCCAGCUCGCCCUCAAGCCCCAGCCCGGAUCUUCCCGUUCCUGGCCGCGCCCCUGGUCCCUGCCAUGGCGGCCGUUCCCUGGUCGGAGUGGAUCCUCAGCUCGGAGGCUUCCUCGAGCUCGACCGCCCACCUCCCUGCUCGGUCCCUGCUCCAGCGCCUGUUCCAGCUCCAGUACGCCGAGUUCCUCGCUGUCUGCGCCAUGGAGCUCGCACCGACGACCGUCAGUUGGUCCUCCUCUAGCCGCGCGUGGUGCGCGCUCUCCCUGGCUCAUGUGCCCAACGCCGUCGGCUCUAGUCUCUCGCUCGGGGUGGUUCCGUCGUCUUCCUCAGGCUCGACACGCCGGUCCGACAGCCGCCAUCCCCUGCUUGGUCAUGGUACCUAGCCGUCGCGCCCCUGGCUCGGCUCUGCUCGCCCCUGUGCUGUCGCUCAGCUCGCUGUGGAGCUUGUCCACCAUGGUACUCUGCAUUCUGCUGCGCUCCAGACCAUCGGAUCCUGCGCUCACCCCGGCCGCGACCUCGUCGUCGUUCCUCAGCUCGCGGGUGCCGUUGUUUCGUGUGCUUGGCCAUCAGCGUUCAACGGCCGUCACGACAUCCCCAGUCUAUCGCGUCAUGCUCCGGUCGUCGAUCGGCUGACCGUCGUCGUCGUGUUCUCUGCUUCCCUCGUCGGUCAACCUCGCCGCGGCUAAGUCCAUCCGCCGUGCUAUGUGCUGUGGUCUCUGGUCGAGGGACAUCAAUACUCUAUGUCCCUUGCUCACCUCCCUGGUCGUGCUCGCCGGGACACUAUUCUCUAGCCAACUACCGUCGGUGGAAGCCCUGCCAUCGAUAUCGCAUGAUAUUGGUUGUCUUCUUCGACCACGUCAUUGCCUCACAGGAUUUGGACACCUUGUCGACACUCGACCACGUGUUCGCUCGUUACCACGCCAUCUUCAGCAUCAUGGUUCUAUAAGACUCCGCGCACUCAUCGGCACCCGGCUGUCAAUCUCCACCACGCAGCGCUGCAUCGGACUUACCCUGUAUGAUGUUCGACGACAAGCCCAAACCAGAAUUUAUCAAUAUUCUCACAAGUAUUGAGUCACGUUUGAAUGCUGGUAAGCAAUUUAUUUGCUUAGUAAUUUUAGGGCUUUGCCGGUAGGCGCUAUCGGCAUUUUAUGCGAGAAAUUUUAGUUGUGGAGUAAAGUCAGUACUAUGCAUUCAUGUGCAUUAUGCAAAUCAUUUAGGUACAAUAAUUAAUCACGUGAUGCGGAGGAAAAGAGCCAAGUCGACCCCAAGCGUGGGCUAAUCCGCAGGAUGAUGCUGAUAGACGAACCGGAAGAUGGAUAAUCUGAACGAGUGUCAAGCCAAAGGAUGCUCGCCAAGUGGUCGCCUAACAAACACUAACCUAGUGUUACUCAGGCAAGCCCCGGUGCAUGCAACCUCUUCCUUGUGUUUUUAAAUUAUUUUUACACACUUUAAGUCUAGUGACUGUGCAUUAGGUUCAUAGGAGUUGCUUGGAAACCCUUUGGUGCAUUGCCUACCUUGAAAUCCAUACCUUUUAUAGAUACUUCUGGUGAAGUAUCAAAAUAUGAUUUUCAAAAAAUGCUUAGCCCUGCUUAUAAGCAGAUAGAGUUUGUCCUUUGCACUUAUGCCUAGCUCAGGUUUAUCCUGAGGAAGGAUGAUUUCUACCUGCAAGAAUAUUUCCAUUGGGAGCAUGGUGGGAUUUUACUGCAAAGUUCCCUAUAAUGCUCUUUUCAUCCUAGGGAGCACAAACACUCCUAAGGAUGGAAGUACUUAAAUCGAGACUUGGGCUAGGAACAGGUGAUGCUCCGUCCAGGUUAAUUAAGGAUUGGAUGCGUAUGUAGGCCUGUUGAUCAAGGACUAUCUUAACUGGCCACAUGCCCUGGAAAUGGGACAGGGUAAGCUUGAACCCGGCUAUUCUAUACGUGAAAAGACAACCGCGCACUGGGCGUGGGAGAUGGUGGGAGUAGCGUGUACCCUCCUGGCUAGAGGCUGGAUGGAGGAGUACUGUGCUCCCGGGUAGCGCAGACCGGUUCACGUUGUGGAGGAUCUGUGGGAACGGUUGACAUAUGCAAGGGUUAAGUGCUACAUAUGUCGUGUGGUUAGAGAUCCUCAGCUGAGUAAAUCGAUUCGGAUCGCCGUUAUAUCCCCGGAGAGUAGAGACUUGAUCUCCGACCUGCAACCUAAGUCAGGAUGUAAACAUUAUGAAUAUAAAUGAUGUUGUAUUGAUGAGAUGGUGAAAUUAGACCAGAUGCAAACAGAGUCUAUUAAUAUUUAAUCUGGCGUUAAAAUAUUGAAAGUAAGGACUCACUUUAGUAAGCUAUUUCUGCAAAAAUAUCUAAUUUGAUUCUUGCUAAAACUUUUCCUUGAUUCCCAAAUCCAGCAUACCCUUGAGAGUCUUUUCCUUAGUCGGGUAAGACUUGCUGAGUAAUUCCAUACUCAGGGUUUUAUUCCCUGUUGUUUUUCAGGUUCUAACCUUGUCCUGCUGUGAUGGUGUUAAGUGCCGGUGGGCUCGGCCUUCUUAUAAGUCUAAGUAACCCUUCUAUACUUCUUAUUGAGGAUGGUCAUUUGAGCUAGCAUAUAUUUCAAACUUAUACUUUUGUAAUCACUCCGAUAAAAUAAUAUAAAAUUUUUGUAACUUGUAAAAUUUGGUAAUAAGAUUUCCGCUGCAAAAAUAUUGGUGUGUGUGAUUUGUGUUACUUAAUCCCGCGGUUCUGGUUGUAAGUGGUUUAUCCGGUGUCCUUGGGGCAAUCGGACGGAUCCUGUUAAGUUAUCUGGUGCACAUGCAUGGCCGUCUGAGGUCUUUGAGACAAGGACAGGUGCAUGUGGGCCCGAUAACUUGGAGGUUCUGCCAGACAGUGGAAAGGUUGAGUCACGCGGCGCACGGCCGGGAAGCGGCGGUCGCCGGUGAGCUUAUCUGUUCCAGUCGUAGGGUAGAGGGGGAAGCACGGGAGGGUCACCGGAGUGGAGCCCAGCUCACGGCGGUGAAGAUCUUUACUGGGCGAUGCUUACCUGCUGGCCACGGUGCACGAAUCACGACGAGCGGCAAUCGACGGCGACGGGCCACCGGUGACGGGCAGGGGGGAAAAACCGUGAUCUGUUUCAGUUUGGGGUAUUGUACCAUGGCGAGCUCGUUUCAGACAGCCUGACAGUCAAGUUUGGAACCAAAUUUCCUCUCAAUUCCUAAUGAUAAUCCAUGUCAAGCUCUAUAGCAAAAUUGUAGAGUAAUGUACCAUCUACAAUGUUGCCAUAUGGUGUUGCCACUGAAAAUCAUUGGAUCAUGUCUGAAAUUGGGCUAGAAGUUGGUGGUAGUUCACUGUUAGUCUGAAAAUUCAGACCAAACCAGCCUGACAGCCUGACUUUGAGCAAGAUUAUCUUCCAAUUUCUCACAAGAACAUGGCUUGCAUUCUUAAGCAAACUUGUUAUCCAUUAAUAGGUCUACAAGUUUGAUGUGGUACUCCAGGGCAAAAACCCUAUAUUUGGAAAGAUACAGGGCUUCAAAGUUGAGUCCUCAACACUGAAUUUCAGACUUAGAAUAGAACUUAGGUGAGGUCCAUUUUGCAUUUAAGUCCAAAAUCCAACAUUUGGCUUACAAGUCCACAUAUUUGUGAACCAAAUGAUUUAAGAUACUUAUUUGACUUGGUUUUUGCACUUUAGUCCAAAAGUGGACUAAUUUUGCACAUAGGUCCCUAGGGUUUGGUUUUAGGGUUUUCCAGGGUUCUAAUUGAGAUUUUUGGUAUCCCAGGGGUAUAAAUGUGAUUCAACUUUGUUUUUGGGGACAUUUUAUGACUCUUUCCCUAAAGCCUUUAGGUUUUCUCAAUUUGGGUUAGGUCUUACCCCUUUAAUCCCUAUUUAGGGUUAAGUUCCCUAUCCAGGGUUCUAUUUGCAAAACAUUAAAACAAUACAACUUGUUUGAAAUUUUUACCUAGUGAAUGCACUCUAGUUGUAUCAAACAUAUGCAAUGCCAAUGCUUAUGAUGCUAUGCUCAAGUUUUAGUUACAGUAACACCAGGGGUGUUACAGAGUUGCUCAAGAGGUAGCCCAGAAGCCAUCACCAGAGCCUGCCAUCGAGGAUCUGCCUGCCCCAGCUUUGGAAGGCAAGCCCCGGUUUUAUACAUAACCGUUAUAUAUAUAUGCUAUUUUACUGCACUUAAUGUUUGUAGGCUUGUACUGUGCACUUAAGUGUAGGAGUUGACUGAAACCCUAGUUGCAUGAAUUCAGGAUUCCUUUGAGAUGGAUACUAGUAUGCUAGGUCUAGGUCGAGUAGCUACUUUGCUAAUUAGGGAUCUCGGUAGAAGUCGAGUGAUUUUUCUAGCACUCACGCGAGGUCAGGAAUUGGUUGUACCCAUUUUUAUAUCGUAAUGAUAAUGGUCUGUGGACAACGAUCCAUGAGGAUGCGUUGUCUACGAGACGGAAAUUGGAAUAAGGAUUAAGGUGUGGUACCGUGUGUCAAGCAUUUGAACGUACUAAACACAUGCCGAGAAAUAUGGUAAAUCGGUAAGCCUAGUACCUGAGUGAACCUGCCCGCAGACUUUACCCCUCACACGACCUGAGACGUGGUCUCCCAUUCCGGUUAUGGUGGGUACAAGUGCGGUCACUGCACGAUGGCAGUCGGGGUCAGUGAGGCAUUGUACGCUAAGGCGGUAAGCCCUGAUCUGUUGACGGGGAAUCGAUGGGGACGGAGUGCCUCGCCACGUCGUGUGUUUAGGUUUACCUAGCAAGGAUAAAAACUCGAUUCGAAUCGUCUGCUUCUCGCAGCUAAUGAGACUGCUUGAUCCAUGCUGCUACAUUGAGUAACAAGUGGAAAGGUGUUGAUUUGCAAAAGACGUUGUUUGAUAAAAAUGUUCGAUACCAUGUAUGAUUAGCUAGGUACACAACUAGUUUAAAAAGGAUCAUACUAAAAUUUGAAAAUCUAAAACAUGAUUUUAGACUCAGCUAGUGCUUUUGGCAAACCAAACCCCUCAACCAAACAGCUGCAUGUCUAGAGGUAGUGGAGUAGACUCCUCACACCAGGUAAGUCUAGCUAAGUAUUAGUAGACUCAUCCUUGCUUGUGGCAUAAUUUUUUACAGGUUCUCUGGAGGAUAUGGUUGCUGGAGUGACUUGGUCGUUCAACUUGCCACCGGGUUGGACAGUUGAGUGGGACCCUACCUCGGCUGGGGAGGAGCAUGAGGAGUGAUGGGCCAGGCUUCCCCAUCCCUCCGUUUGUUUACCGUUAGUCAUAUUCCGCUGCAUUUCAAACAAUGAUCACUACUUUUGCAAAACUUUGAUGAUGUUGCAAUAAUUUUAUGUACUCCUUUAAUGUAUGGUUUUAUGCUUUAUUGUAUUUGCU